AGCCUCCUUUCCAGCUGUUGCCACAUAGCCUACAGUCUGCCAGCUACUGUGGCCAGGCAGGGGCUUUCGGAGGAGGCAAGAGGCUGUGAUGCAAGUAGGAGGCAUCUGAAAAAACCUUUUGGAUGGUGCUUUGGCCUGGUACCAUCAACUUUCUCUUGUCACUUGGCACAAAAUGUUUCUUUCCUUUCUCACGAGCCUUCUUGCACCUCAUGCGUCAGAGAAAAGAAGGUAAAGGUCACUCUAGGAGCACCUUGUGACAAGAGCUGGUUCUUGAUGAGGUUCUCAUCACCUACUGUGAUACAGUUAGUCCAAUUUGAUUACUGGAUCGUAAUCGUAUGCCAGAGGGUCAUUGAACCUUUUAAGCAAAAUGAGGAGAUGCGUCUUUAUGGGACCUCGUUAGGAGGUGAAAGUUAAUAAAGACAGAAAGGGAAAAAAAGCUACUGGGAAAAGGCAAAUAUCUUCAAAAGCUGUCCAAGGAAGUCAUCCUAUUGGGAUCUCUGUUAGUACUAUUUGGGAUUUUCCAAGAAAUACUGUGUGGAGGUCUCUGUGAGAGUCCCUUGGUGAGAGCUGGAAGUGCCCUAGAGAAGCCAAGAGGCAGAUGUCCCUGUGACGCCUCCUUAGCUGUGGAGACAGGAGGAGCCAGGGGACAGCAAGUAGCUUGACCUGCAGCUUGCAUUGUGUAGAGUAAGCAGAAGCUGGGAAAUCAGUAGAAAUGUGCUUGCUGGGUCCUUCUCUCUCAAUGCUACCUGGGAACCAGAUGACAGAGGAGGGAUGCCUACCCAUUGCCUUGCCUGUGUUGAAGAUCUGGAGCCCAGCAUG
rnacentral:lncRNA from 1 species